rnacentral:misc_RNA from 1 species
AUUGAGGGAAGGGAGGGGUGAUGCUUACAUUGGGGAGUUCAUGGAAGGGAAACUGAGCUUACUUAGGGGUGAUGCUUGCUAGGCCUGCAUCUUUCUUCAUUAGCAACGUUUAUUUUUGCCGUUAGUUGCAUAUAAAAAGCUAAAGCAAUUGACUUUUGACUUGCAUUUAUUUUAUCCCUGCAUUCUUUCUUUGAUAAUCUCUUUUGCUUUGCAUCCAUUAUCUUAGCAUUAAACUUGAUGGAGACAUCUUGACUCGGAGAUUACCCGAAUAUUGCGUUGCCUUCGCCAUUAUUUUAUGUAUGCCCAAUCGUGGUCGGUUGCUUCUUUCUGAAUAAACUUUACAAAGAUAUUAGCG